rnacentral:rRNA from 1 species
GUCUACGGCCAUACCACCCUGAACGCGCCCAAUCUUGUCUGAUCUCGGAAGCUAAGCAGAGUCCGUCCUGGUUAGUACGUGGAUGGGAGGCAAAAAUAAGACACCUUACUCU